rnacentral:rRNA from 1 species
UACGUAGGGUGCGAGCGUUGCCCGGAUUUAUUGGGCGUAAAGGGCGCGUAGGCGGUUCGAUAAGUCGGGUGUGAAACCUCCAGGCUCAACCUGGAGACGCCACCCGAUACUGUCGUGACUAGAGUCCAGUAGGGGAGCGUGGAAUUCCUGGUGUAGCGGUGAAAUGCGCAGAUAUCAGGAGGAACACCGGUGGCGAAGGCGGGUCUCUGGGCAACAACUGACGCUGAGGAGCGAAAGCGUGGGGAGCGAACAGG